CUCGUAGGCGGUUCGGUUAGUCGGGUGUGAAAACUCUGGGCUCAACCCAGAGACGCCACCCGAUACUGCUGUGACUAGAGUGCGGUAGGGGAGCGGGGAAUUCCUGGUGUAGCGGUGAAAUGCGCAGAUAUCAGGAGGAACACCAGUGGCGAAGGCGCCGCUCUGGGCCGUGACUGACGCUGAGGAGCGAAAGCGUGGUAGCAAACA
rnacentral:rRNA from 1 species